CCUACGGGAGGCAGCAGUAGGGAAUAUUGCUCAAUGGGGGAAACCCUGAAGCAGCAACGCCGCGUGGAGGAUGAAGGUUUUCGGAUUGUAAACUCCUUUUGUUAGAGAAGAUAAUGACGGUAUCUAACCAAUAAGCACCGGCUAACUCCGUGCCACCAGCCGCGGUCAUACGGAGGGUGCAAGCGUUACUCGGAAUGACUGGGCGUAAAGAGCGCGUAGGCGGGAUAGCAAGGCAGCUGUGAAAUCCUAUGGCUUAACCAUAGAACUGCAGUUGAAACUGUCAUGCUAGAGUGUGGUAGAGGUAGGUGGAAUGCGUGGUGUAGCGGUAAAAUGCGUAGAGAUCGAGAGGAAUACUGAUGGCGAAGGCGGCGUGCUAGAACGUAACUGACGCUGAGGCGCGAAAGCGUGGGGAGCGAACAGGAUUAGAUACCCGUGUAGUC
rnacentral:rRNA from 1 species